ensembl:lncRNA
AAACUUUGAGUGAGGUAGAGAGAGAUGGAAGGAAGAACUAAGGGCAAAGCUCACAAAGCAAAGCUCAAAGACAGACGGAGAUUCGUAUACCACAUGAUGAAGAGGCUCUUACUUCUGGUCUAAGCACUGUCCUGCCCUGCAUCCACUUGGAGCAGUGACUGAGCACUGCCUUCCCAAACAGCUGAAUUGCCUGGUAUUCCACUGUUGGACUAUAUAGAUCAAACUGCCUGCUAAUAAUUCAUUACCUCUUGUGGAAUACAGUGCUGGCAAAAGAAAAGAUUUGUGGGGGCAUUUCUGCUUUCUGACAGAGCACCCUAGGCCUGAGAUGUCAUGCUGGUUUCAGCUUUCUGUGUGAGAGCUAAUAGCUCUGCACUUCAGAAGUGGGGCAAGAGUUGACAGAUUGCCUGCAUGCAGCUCCCACAAACAACUUAUGGAGAUCAGGGUGCUGCUGUGAAGAUGUGUAGGAACUGCUCUCAGAACUGACAGCCUCCAAGUAGCUAGCCUUGAUAGCUCCUUUAUACUCUAAACUUAUGGAUUUUUAAAUUAUUCAGAGAGUUCUGUUGUCUGUGUUUUUUUUUUUUUUUUUUUCCCUGAAUUGUUGAGAUAUUUCAGUAGGGGAAUUUACAUUACAGAAUUUAGAGGGCUGUUGUUUCCUGUUUGUUCGUUCUCUAUCUGGAAUUCCCUCCCUUUUCUUAUUAAUGAUUUGUUGUCUUUCUGAGCACAAUGAAUGCAGAAAGAAUAAGACCUAAUGGUGCAGGUUAGUUAUCCAUGAAAUUUCUCUGUAUUUAAUUGUAACAGUUGGUAUCUUCCUGCUUAGUAUGACUGGUACAUUAAAUAUAAAGAGAAUGAUUUUUUUUCUGUAUGGAAUUCUACAUAAGUAGCCUGCAAAGAGGACAGAUCUAUAUGUGUAGCAUAGUAUUUUCCUCCUGAGAGAUCCUGGAAAUUUAAAUUUAAAAAAAAAUGAUUUAAGUAUUCGGAUUGGGAUGGCAGAAUAAAGCCUAGUAGCACAUACACAUAAGCUUUAGAGCACAUUUACAGUAGUACGAAGAUCCCUGAUCCAAGAUCAGCAGGUAAACAUUAUUGAUGAGGUGGGAUACACAAACCCUAACAUGGGCAAAACAAAGAGCAGCUACAGGGAUAUUCAUUCUUCCCUGCCACUUCUCCACAGUGUUUCAGAGGCAGCGAAUGACUGUGGAAAAGUAGGCUUGUACAGAGCUUGGCACACUGCCUUCUGCUUCUGGAGGAAUGAUGCUGCAGGCAACGUUAGCUAGCAGGUGUCUCCCGGGAAGUAAAUGAUACACAUUUCCUACAAAUAAUGUACCAAAAGACAUGGAUUUGAAUUGAAGACUACUUAAAAUCCUUUGAAGGAAAGGCCUCCUCCUCCUGCUAAUUCUUUGUUUUAUCUCCUUUAUUAUUGUGAAAUCAACAGUCACUCCAUCCUAACUGAGGCAGAGCAGAGCACACCCCAGCCUGAGGCUGACAGGCAUGGGACAAGGAUGGCUUUGUCCCACCACAGAAAGAUGGUGGCACACUCCAUAUCCUCUGUCUGGACUUUGAAGACUAGUGAUUUUUUUCAUGAUCACAAAGUUGUUUUGGAUUUGUUCAUCAUUCACACUGGAGUGGGAGAAAGUAGGGGUGGAUGGAAGACACUUUGAUUUACUGAACUGAGAUGUGAUAAUAGCAGACUUUCAAGAGCAAUACAACGAUUUGGUUUGUGAAGUCAGGAUGCACCCUGCAAUGUUUCAUCCUAUCUAUAGGAACUUCUGUCUCAAAUAAUACUACUGUGCAUUUGAAAUUUAAGGACUAUGCAUGUCAGAUAAUGACUAUUUGCCUAGAUAGGAAGGGGGUUCUCUAUCUUUCAUUUUAUUUCUACUUUUUCCAGCCAAAUUUGCUUCCACUUAAUACUGUAGCAGCAGAAUUGUGGCUGGUCACUUUGGAAUGAAGAAAACCAUUCUCAAGUUGUAUUGCCAGUAUAAAUAGGGAAGGAACAAUACCUAAAGCAUAGAGUAAAAACAGAAAAAUAGGUUUAGAAAGUAUCCUAUUGUAUCACC